UGACAAUUGACAGACUCGCGGCGAGGCUAUUUGCACACUCCUGCAGGCUGAUCAGCUGUCAAUGUAAAAUGGUGGGUGUUUGCAAAUAUUCGUCCAGGUUUUCAAAUGGUCAGGCUAUAUUGUGAGUUAACCAUUGCUUUUAUUAUAAAAGCCAAACUUAAAAUUAAGAUCAAUGCUAUUUCAUUUAAUUUUUGAAGUAAUCAGUUUAGAUUUA